rnacentral:rRNA from 1 species
GCGUGCUUAACACAUGCAAGUCGAACGGAAAGGCCCUGCUUUUGUGGGGUGCUCGAGUGGCGAACGGGUGAGUAACACGUGAGUAACCUGCCCUUGACUUUGGGAUAACUUCAGGAAACUGGGGCUAAUACCGGAUAGGAGCUCCUGCUGCAUGGUGGGGGUUGGAAAGUUUCGGCGGUUGGGGAUGGACUCGCGGCUUAUCAGCUUGUUGGUGGGGUAGUGGCUUACCAAGGCUUUGACGGGUAGCCGGCCUGAGAGGGUGACCGGCCACAUUGGGACUGAGAUACGGCCCAGACUCCUACGGGAGGCAGCAGUGGGGAAUAUUGCACAAUGGGCGGAAGCCUGAUGCAGCAACGCCGCGUGCGGGAUGACGGCCUUCGGGUUGUAAACCGCUUUCGCCUGUGACGAAGCGUGAGUGACGGUAAUGGGUAAAGAAGCACCGGCUAACUACGUGCCAGCAGCCGCGGUGAUACGUAGGGUGCGAGCGUUGUCCGGAUUUAUUGGGCGUAAAGGGCUCGUAGGUGGUUGAUCGCGUCGGAAGUGUAAUCUUGGGGCUUAACCCUGAGCGUGCUUUCGAUACGGGUUGACUUGAGGAAGGUAGGGGAGAAUGGAAUUCCUGGUGGAGCGGUGGAAUGCGCAGAUAUCAGGAGGAACACCAGUGGCGAAGGCGGUUCUCUGGGCCUUUCCUGACGCUGAGGAGCGAAAGCGUGGGGAGCGAACAGGCUUAGAUACCCUGGUAGUCCACGCUGUAAACGGUGGGUACUAGGUGUGGGGUCCAUUCCACGGGUUCCGUGCCGUAGCUAACGCUUUAAGUACCCCGCCUGGGGAGUACGGCCGCAAGGCUAAAACUCAAAGGAAUUGACGGGGCCCCGCACAAGCGGCGGAGCAUGCGGAUUAAUUCGAUGCAACGCGUAGAACCUUACCCGGGUUUGACAUGGAUCGGGAGUGCUCAGAGAUGGGUGUGCCUCUUUUGGGGUCGGUUCACAGGUGGUGCAUGGCUGUCGUCAGCUCGUGUCGUGAGAUGUUGGGUUAAGUCCCGCAACGAGCGCAACCCUUGUUCACUGUUGCCAGCACGUUAUGGUGGGGACUCAGUGGAGACCGCCGGGGUCAACUCGGAGGAAGGUGGGGAUGACGUCAAGUCAUCAUGCCCCUUAUGUCCAGGGCUUCACGCAUGCUACAAUGGCUGGUACAGAGAGUGGCGAGCCUGUGAGGGUGAGCGAAUCUCGGAAAGCCGGUCUCAGUUCGGAUUGGGGUCUGCAACUCGACCUCAUGAAGUCGGAGUCGCUAGUAAUCGCAGAUCAGCAACGCUGCGGUGAAUACGUUCCCGGGGCUUGUACACACCGCCCGUCAAGUCAUGAAAGUUGGUAACACCCGAAGCCGGUGGCCUAACCAUUGUGGGGGAGCCGUCGAAGGUGGGACUGGUGAUUAGGACUAA